rnacentral:rRNA from 1 species
CGGCAGGCCUAACACAUGCAAGUCGAACGGUAACAGGAAGAAGCUUGCUUCUUUGCUGACGAGUGGCGGACGGGUGAGUAAUGUCUGGGAAACUGCCUGAUGGAGGGGGAUAACUACUGGAAACGGUAGCUAAUACCGCAUAACGUCGCAAGACCAAAGAGGGGGACCUUCGGGCCUCUUGCCAUCGGAUGUGCCCAGAUGGGAUUAGCUAGUAGGUGGGGUAAAGGCUCACCUAGGCGACGAUCCCUAGCUGGUCUGAGAGGAUGACCAGCCACACUGGAACUGAGACACGGUCCAGACUCCUACGGGAGGCAGCAGUGGGGAAUAUUGCACAAUGGGCGCAAGCCUGAUGCAGCCAUGCCGCGUGUAUGAAGAAGGCCUUCGGGUUGUAAAGUACUUUCAGCGGGGAGGAAGGGAGUAAAGUUAAUACCUUUGCUCAUUGACGUUACCCGCAGAAGAAGCACCGGCUAACUCCGUGCCAGCAGCCGCGGUAAUACGGAGGGUGCUAGCGUUAAUCGGAAUUACUGGGCGUAAAGCCCCACGCGGGCGGUUUGCUAAGUCAUAUGUGAAAUCCCCCGGGCUCAACCUGGGAAACUGCAUCUGAUACUGGCAAGCUUGAGUCUCGCAGAGGCGGGUAGAAUUCCAGGUGUAGCGUGGAAAUGCGUAGAGAUCUGGAGGAAUACCGGUGGCGAAGGCGGCCCCCUGGACGAGGACUGACGCUCAGGUGCGAAAGCGUGGGGAGCAAACAGGAUUAGAUACCCUGGUAGUCCACGCCGUAAACGAUGUCGACUUGGAGGUUGUGCCCUUGAGGCGUGGCUUCCGGAGCUAACGCGUUAAGUCGACCGCCUGGGGAGUACGGCCGCAAGGUUAAAACUCAAAUGAAUUGACGGGGGCCCGCACAAGCGGUGGAGCAUGUGGUUUAAUUCGAUGCAACGCGAAGAACCUUACCUGGUCUUGACAUCCACAGAACUUUCCAGAGAUGGAUUGGUGCCUUCGGGAACUGUGAGACAGGUGCUGCAUGGCUGUCGUCAGCUCGUGUUGUGAAAUGUUGGGUUAAGUCCCGCAACGAGCGCAACCCUUAUCCUUUGUUGCCAGCGGUCCGGCCGGGAACUCAAAGGAGACUGCCAGUGAUAAACUGGAGGAAGGUGGGGAUGACGUCAAGUCAUCAUGGCCCUUACGACCAGGGCUACACACGUGCUACAAUGGCGCAUACAAAGAGAAGCGACCUCGCGAGAGCAAGCGGACCUCAUAAAGUGCGUCGUAGUCCGGAUUGGAGUCUGCAACUCGACUCCAUGAAGUCGGAAUCGCUAGUAAUCGUGGAUCAGAAUGCCACGGUGAAUACGUUCCCGGGCCUUGUACACACCGCCCGUCACACCAUGGGAGUGGGUUGCAAAAGAAGUAGGUAGCUUAACCUUCGGGAGGGCGCUUACCACUUUGUGAUUCAUGACUGGGGUG